GGGAAGGUAAGCUAAACUAAGCUAGUGGGCUCAUACCCCAUUUAUGGAGAUAAUCCCUUUCCCA
rnacentral:tRNA from 1 species